rnacentral:rRNA from 1 species
CUUUAGUGGCGAACGGGUGCGUAAUACGUGAGAAUCUGCCCUUAGGAGGAGAAUAACUUCUGGAAACGGUUGCUAAGUCUCCAUAUGCCGAGAGGUGAAAUAGUUUAUACUGCCUAGGGAUGAGCUCACGCCUGAUUAGCUUGUUGGUAAGGUAAUGGCUUACCAAGGCCACGAUCAGUAGCUGGUUUGAGAGAACGAUCAGCCACACUGGGACUGAGACACGGCCCAGACUCCUCCGGGAGGCAGCAGUGAGGAAUUUUCCGCAAUGGGCGAAAGCCUGACGGAGCAAUACCGCGUGAGGGAUGAAGGAUUUUGGUCUGUAAACCUCUUUUCUCAAGAAAGAAGUUCUGACGGUACUUGAGGAAUAAGCAUCGGCUAACUCCGUGCCAGCAGCCGCGGUAAUACGGGGGAUGCAAGCGUUAUCCGGAAUCAUUGGGCGUAAAGCGCCUGUAGGUUGUUUAAUAAGUCUGUUGUUAAAGACUAGGGCUUAACCCUAGGAAAGCAAUGGAAACUGCUAGACUUGAGUAUGAUAGGGGUAGAGGGAAUUUCUAGUGUAGCGGUGAAAUGCGUA